GUUUUUUAAUGCAGAUUGCAGAGAAACUCAAAGUAGUGAUGGGAAUCUCAGUAGGAAUACCAGUGACAGAACACCCAAUCAGUUUAAUGAAGGCUUGCAGAUCUCUCAAGCUCUCCAAGUUCAACUGGAAGUGCAGAGGAAACUUCAUGAACAGAUUGAGGUACAGCGACAUUUGCAGCUGAGAAUUGAAGCUCAAGGGAAGUACUUACAGUCUGUCUUAA